ACCGCAGUUGCCUUGUCGUGGUCCGAGGCCUUUGACCUCACCGGGGCUGGUCCAUAUUUUGGCCACCCCCAACCCCCCGAUCGUUUGGGGAUGGCCCCUUUCGCCCCACUCUUUUCAGACAGACCGACCAUGCAGCACGCAGGACGGACCCUUUGGCUCAGAGUCAUCGGCUUUAUCUCUCCAUAACUAACUGCUGGAUAUGAAAGGAUCAUUUAACAAUCUUUGUCCAAAAAAACAACUUCCAUUCUUCAUUAUCCGAAAUAUUUGCGUCGUAAUUCCCUGUGCCGUUAUUGCUCUUUCCAAAGGAAACCGGAUUCCCCCCUUCGCUAUGUUUCUUCUCCGCCGGCCUCACAGGAUAUCUAUUGCUACUGCCACAACGACUUAAUAGAUACGAAACAGCCUUUGUGGGAAUGGGGCUAUUUGCAUUGCAAAUGAGGGCCCUGUGCAAGGAAGACUGCACCUUACCCGCGAUUUUCAAGGCCUUCUUCAACACAGUAAUAUUGGCGAUGGAGAAGAGCUACGCAGAACUACAGGCUGCAGGUAGUAGAGGUCGAGAUGACAUCUGAGAUUUUGCUGUCCAUUGGACCCACAUAAGGUGCGAUGGAGAUCUCGUGGAUUGUGACUCAGAAAUAAAUGGCACAAUGUUUGGAUUCUUCAGGCUGAAGACGUCAAGGAUAUUCAGCUGAGCUCAAAGAUCGGCAGCAGCAGCAGCAGUCCCCUCCUCAUGGAGAGUGGAAGCAUCUGACUAGAGUCCACUGGGAGUAGUUAGCAGAAGAAGUGCAAGACAUUCAACUAUUCCACCCUGUUAUCAGACUUGCGCACCACAAGGCACCACUUGUCAAUUUUCCAGGGGACACCUUGACAUCAAAUCCUCUAUUUUUAUCGGAGGUUGCAUGACAACUAUCCAUGUUUGUAGAUCUGGUCUGGGAAAACCGGGGCCUACUCAAAUUGACCAAUGCGGUGCGAUUUGAAUGACAAAAUAUAUUUUUACAAUUGCAUCAUGUCUUGAAAAUGAUUAGAUUUAAGUAGUAUUCUUAUUUUCAUUUGUUGCUAUUGUUCUUUGAGUGGCAAAUACAUAUCCAUUAAUCUUCACCAGUCUCACUGCAAAAGCGCCAGAACAAUGCCCCUACAAAACACAGAUUGUGCGGAGCAAUACAAAAAUUGAUGAUCAAAACAUUUCAACCACCAAACAACAACAACCACUUCGGAUCAGUCAAAUUGGGUCCAUUUGGCAAUCAAAAGGAGAGCAGUUAACCUUAUAAGAAAAACAUAUUCCAGUGCCCUGUGGGCCUGCUAUAAAGCAACAUCUAGAAAUAUCUCAACACGUCUACCUCUGCAGUCGAUUUUUUCAAUAGAAGAACCGCCCCAAGUUGUAAGAGGCGACUAUAUUUUUUCUUCACACCCAUUAUCCUGUUUUGAAAGGUCGGCUAAGACAGAAGACUUGCAUACCGGUCCAUUUUUGAGUUAAAGAAAAAUGUAAAGCGCCUGAGAGGCAAAAUAAUUAUUUUACAUGUAAUAUAGAAGAAAAUACAUCUGCAGCUGAUGUUUUUGUGUAGUAUUUUUUGCACUGGUUUUGUGCAGCAUUGUUGCCGCUAUUUUUAAUUUUUUAAUUCAACUUAAAAACAAGUUUAACUCUAAUUAUCCUGUUCAACAAGCAAAUGCUUUGUUUGAUGAAACCCAAGAAUAAAAGGCACUGAGAAUUAUCAGCAAAGCCGUGAAACACACACACACAAUAUAUGCACAGCCCCAUGCUUUGCACAACUGCUGUAUCAGCAGAGAAGAUGAGGAGGAUGCCAAGAGACGCACAUGCAGCUUUGACGAGGAUCAGCUGCCACAGAUAGGCAGGCAGGCCAAGAAGGCAGCGUGUGCCCUUGAGGUGCUGUGUGCAGGCAGGGUGGUUUGCUUGGCUUGUCUGAAUCCACCUCCUUCAUCUUUUGCACUUGGGUUGAGUUGGGUGUUGAUGUCCCAGGGACCCCCUGCCAACCCUGUAAUGUUUUAUACUGGCAGCCAAACAUCAGAGAAUUUUUUUGAAGGAGACAAUGUGGCCAAAAAAAAAGUACCUUUGUAUUUUUUUUUUAAUCUGUGGAAAACACUGAGGGGAGUUGCUGACUUAUAGCAACUUUGCAGAGAUUUCAACUGUCCGACCGGAUAAAUCAGCAAAUUAAUUUAGAAUAAAUCCUGGAUCCUAAAGUAUGUUGUUGGUU
ensembl:lncRNA